UACGGAGGGAGCUAGCGUUGUUCGGAAUUACUGGGCGUAAAGCGCACGUAGGCGGCUUUGUAAGUUAGAGGUGAAAGCCCGGGGGCUCAACCCCGGAAUUGCCUUUUAAGACUGCAUCGCUUGAAUCCGGGGAGAGGUGAGUGGAAUUCCGAGUGUAGAGGUGAAAUUCGUAGAUAUUCGGAAGAACACCAGUGGCGAAGGCGGCUCACUGGACCGGUAUUGACGCUGAGGUGCGAAAGCGUGGGGGAGCAAACAGG
rnacentral:rRNA from 1 species